UUUAAAAUGAGAGUUUGAUCCUGGCUCAGGACGAACGCUGGCGGCGUGCCUAAUACAUGCAAGUCGAACGAAACUUUCUUACACCGAAUGC
rnacentral:rRNA from 1 species